AGAAUCGACCGAAUCCGACCCGAA
rnacentral:siRNA from 1 species